ACCAGGACUAAACCAGGACUAAAUCAGGACUAAACCAGGUCUAAACCAGGACUAAACCAGGACUAAACCAGGACUAAACCAGGUCUAAACCAGGACUAAACCAGGACUAAACCAGGUCUAAACCAGGACUAAACCAAGACUAAACCAGGACUAAACCAGGACUAAACCAGGACUAAAUCAGGACUAAACCAGGUCUAAACCAGGUCUAAACCAGGACUAAACCAGGUCUAAACCAGGUCUAAACCAGGACUAAACCAGGACUAAACCAGGUCUAAACCAGGUCUAAACCAGGACUAAACCAGGACUAAACCAGGUCUAAACCAGGACUAAACCAGGACUAAACCAGAACUAAACCAGGUCUAAACCAGGACUAAACCAGGACUAAACCAGGUCUAAACCAGGACUAAACCAGGACUAAACCAGAACUAAACCAGGUCUAAACCAGGACUAAACCAGGACUAAACCAGAACUAAACCAGGUCUAAACCAGGACUAAACCAGGACUAAAUCAGGACUAAAUCAGGACUAAACCAGGACUAAAUCAGGACUAAACCAGGACUAAAUCAGGACUAAACCAGGACUAAACCAGGACUAAAUCAGGACUAAACCAGGACUAAACCAGGACUAAACCAGGUCUAAACCAGGACUAAACCAGGACUAAACCAGGACUAAAUCAGGACUAAACCAGGACUAAACCAGGACUAAACCAGGACUAACCCAGGACUAAACCAGGACUAAACCAGGACUAAAUCAGGACUAAACCAGGACUAAACCAGGACUAAACCAGGACUAAACCAGGUCUAAACCAGCACUAAACCAGGACUAAACCAGGACUAAACCAGGACUAAACCAGGACUAAACCAGGUCUAAACCAGGACUAAACCAAGACUAAACCAGGACUAAACCAGGACUAAAUCAGGACUAAACCAGGACUAAAUCAGGACUAAACCAGGUCUAAACCAGGACUAAACCAGGUCUAAACCAGGUCUAAACCAGGACUAAACCAGGACUAAACCAGGUCUAAACCAGGUCUAAACCAGGACUAAACCAGGACUAAACCAGGACUAAACCAGGUCUAAACCAGGACUAAACCAGGACUAAACCAGGACUAAACCAGGUCUAAACCAGGACUAAAUCAG
ensembl:lncRNA